ensembl:snRNA U6 U6 spliceosomal RNA
GUGCUCACCUUGGCGGCACACACGCCAAAUGCAAACGAUGCAGAGAAGACAAGCAAGAUCCCCAGCCAAUGAUGACAAGCAAAUUCGGGGAGUGUUUCAUAUUUUU